AAAGUGCGAAAAGUGUCAUGACUUGCAGAUUCCCGAGAGCUGACAAAUCUCUGAAUGCAAAUGGCAGCUGAAUAAACGCAGCUAUGUGUUGUAGAGUGUAGAUGCUCCAGCUAAUCAUCAUUCUGUUGCUUCACAUCGAAGCACGAAUGGAUCUGCACUUGCGAUUGCGAGUGUUAAAUGCAAAGGUCCGUGCCUAUGCGACAAGCGUAUGGCACACGCACCGAUGGAUUCCGUAACAAGAGUAUAUCGAGUGUGACAAAUGACCAACUUUUUUCUAUGAGCCACAUCUACAACGCAUGAUUACCCGCUGAACUUAA
rnacentral:misc_RNA from 1 species